rnacentral:rRNA from 1 species
UCUGGUUGAUCCUGCCAGUAGUCAUAUGCUUGUCUCAAAGAUUAAGCCAUGCAUGUCUAAGUACAAACCUUAAUACGGUGAAACCGCGAAUGGCUCAUUAAAUCAGCUAUGGUUCCUUAGAUCGUCUCAUCCUACUCGGAUAACUGUGGAAAAUCUAGAGCUAAUACGUGCUUACAAGCCCUGACCUCACGGGAGGGGCGCAUUUAUUAGAUCAAAACCAAUCGGGGCUUGCCCCGUCUGCUUGGUGACUCUGGAUAACUUUUGUGCUGAUCGCAUGGCCUCUGCGCUGGCGACGUAUCUUUCAAGUGUCUGCCCUAUCAACUUACGAUGGUAGGUGAUAUGCCUACCAUGGUUAUAACGGGUAACGGGGAAUCAGGGUUCGAUUCCGGAGAGGGAGCCUGAGAAACGGCUACCACAUCUAAGGAAGGCAGCAGGCGCGCAAAUUACCCACUCCCGGCACGGGGAGGUAGUGACGAAAAAUAACGAUACGGGACUCUUUUGAGGCCCCGUAAUUGGAAUGAGUACACUUUAAAUCCGUUAACAAGUAUCUAUUGGAGGGCAAGUCUGUGGCCAGCAGCCGCGGUAAUUCCAGCUCCAAUAGCGUAUAUUAAUGUUGCUGCAGUUAAAAAGCUCGUAGUUGGAUCUGAGGACUCGAAUUGGUGGUGCACCAUACGGUGUUACUGCCGAUUCGGCCUACCUAGUCGUCGGUGCUCGCUCUUGGUGUUCUUAAUUGAAUGCCCUGAGUGCCCGGCAAGUUUACUUUGAAAAAAUUAGAGUGCUCAAAGCAGGCCAUUAGCCGGAAUACUUCAGCAUGGAAUAAUGGAAUAGGACUUCGGUUCUAUUUUGUUGGUUUUCGGAACCCGAGGUAAUGAUUAAGAGAGACAGACGGGGGCAUUCGUACUGCGGUGUUAGAGGUGAAAUUCUUGGAUCGCCGCAAGACGAACAACUGCGAAAGCAUUUGCCAAGAAUGUUUUCAUUAAUCAAGAACGAAAGUCAGAGGUUCGAAGACGAUCAGAUACCGUCCUAGUUCUGACCAUAAACGAUGCCAACUGGCGAUCCGAGAUCGUUUGCUUAUUGACCUCUCGGGCAGCCUCCGGGAAACCAAAGUUUUUAGGUUCCGGGGGAAGUAUGGUUGCAAAGCUGGAAAGCCCUUAGUCCCUUUCCAGUCCACAGACGGGAAAAAUACGCUAUCUGCCAGAAGUCAUUAGACAAAGACUUCUCUGGAACCAUCUCUAAAAUUCUAGAUGGGGUAGAAAUCUCUGAAGCGGAGGUUCGCCCUGAGAUGGCCAAGAUCGAAGAAGUUUACCAACAGCGCCUGGGUAAUACAUCAGGUGCUCUUCCCGAAAACACGGACACCCCCGUGGUAGAAGGCCUCCGGUUCGAACGGAAAACCGCGCCUUUUGACGCACAGGAGGUGACACGUGCGAUUAGGGAAAGUAACAAAUCUACAGCAGCUGGUCCAGACAGAUGGUUCAACGGGCGAUGCCUGAAGAAUCUCGAUUGCGAAACUGUUGCCGCUCUCUUCAAUCUUUGGCGGUUUAAGCAAAAAAUACCCUCAGCUCUGCGGGAGAAUCGGACUAUCCUGUUGCCCAAAGG